CAGUACAGAGCCCUUACCGUACCUGAACUAACUCAACAAAUGUGGGAUGCGAAGAACAUGAUGUGUGCUGCGGAUCCUCGUCAUGGCCGAUAUUUGACUGCUUCUGCCAUGUUUCGUGGAAAAAUGAGCACUAAAGAAGUGGAUGAACAGAUGAUUAAUGUUCAGAACAAGAACUCUUCUUACUUUGUUGAGUGGAUCCCCAACAA
rnacentral:misc_RNA from 1 species